rnacentral:rRNA from 1 species
GUGUCAGCAGCCGCGGUAAUACCAGCUCUCCGAGUGGUAGGGACGAUUAUUGGGCUUAAAGCGUCCGUAGCCGGCUUAGCAAGUCUCCUGUUAAAUUCAGCGACCUAAUCGUUGAGUCGCGGGAGAUACUACUAGGCUAGGAGGCGGGAGAGGUCGACGGUACUUCCGGGGUAGGGGUGAAAUCCUAUAAUCCCGGGAGGACCACCAGUGGCGAAGGCUGUCGACUAGAACGCGCUCGACGGUGAGGGACGAAAGCUGGGGGAGCGAACCGGAUUAGAUACCCCGGUAGUCCUAGCCGUAAACGAUGGGCACUAGAUGUUCCCACAUUUUGUGGGAGUGUCGAAGCUAACGCGUUAAGUGCCCCGCCUGGGGAGUACGGUCGCAAGGCUGAAACUUAAAUGAAUUGGCGAGG